rnacentral:rRNA from 1 species
AGUCGAACGGCAGCACGGGAGCAAUCCUGGUGGCGAGUGGUGAACGGGUGAGUAAUAUAUCGGAACGUGCCCAGUCGUGGGGGAUAACGUAGCGAAAGCUACGCUAAUACCGCAUACGAUCUAUGGAUGAAAGCGGGGGAUCGCAAGACCUCGCGCGAUUGGAGCGGCCGAUAUCAGAUUAGGUAGUUGGUGGGGUAAAGGCCCACCAAGCCGACGAUCUGUAGCUGGUCUGAAAGGACGACCAGCCACACUGGGACUGAGACACGGCCCAGACUCCUACGGGAGGCAGCAGUGGGGAAUUUUGGACAAUGGGCGCAAGCCUGAUCCAGCAAUGCCGCGUGCAGGAUGAAGGCCUUCGGGUUGUAAACUGCUUUUGUACGGAACGAAACGGCGAGCUCUAAUACAGUUUGCUAAUGACGGUACCGUAAGAAUAAGCACCGGCUAACUACGUGCCAGCAGCCGCGGUAAUACGUAGGGUGCAAGCGUUAAUCGGAAUUACUGGGCGUAAAGCGUGCGCAGGCGGUUAUAUAAGACAGAUGUGAAAUCCCCGGGCUCAACCUGGGAACUGCAUUUGUGACUGUAUAGCUAGAGUACGGUAGAGGGGGAUGGAAUUCCGCGUGUAGCAGUGAAAUGCGUAGAUAUGCGGAGGAACACCGAUGGCGAAGGCAAUCCCCUGG